rnacentral:rRNA from 1 species
CCCUAUGGGGUGCAGCAGAGGGAGAAAACAUCGUCAUAGAUGCUGUUUCCGACCCCAAUAAGACCGGGCUUAUAGGUGAUGAGUUCACCCUCAUUACAACCGAUCAGGGUGAUCUUGAAACCAAACUAACAACGACCGAUCCCGCCUUUGCCGGAUUAUUCUACGAAUGGCUGAAGGAAGCAAAGGUUGAAAAAGGCGAUUAUGUUGCCGUUGCCUUCACCGGUUCCUUUCCGGGUGCAAACAUUGCCCUUCUUUCUGCCAUUGAUGAGAUAGGGGCAACGCCGGUUAUCAUUACAAGCCUCGGCUCCUCAAUGUGGGGUGCAAACCGCCCGGAGCUUACAUGGCUCGAUAUGGAGAGUAUUUUGCAUGAUAAGGGCAUAUUUCCAUAUAAAUCCGCUGCUGCCACAAUUGGCGGGAGAGC